CGCGAAUGGCUCAUUACAACAGCCAUAAUAUACUUGACGUUGACUUCCUACGUGGAUAACUGUGGUAAUUCUAGAGCUAAUACAUGCACCAAAGCUCGGAUUUUUGAAGAGCGCAUCUAUUAGAUUAAAACCAAUCGGGUCUCGGCCCGUCUCUUGGUGACUCUGAAUAGCUUCAGCUGAUCGCAUGGUCUUGAACCGGCGACGUGUCAAUCAAGUGUCUGCCUUAUCAACUUUCGAUGGUAGUUUAUGUGCCUACCAUGGUUGUAACGGGUAACGGAGAAUAAGGGUUCGACUCCGGAGAGGGAGCCUGAGAAACGGCUACCACAUCCAAGGAAGGCAGCAGGCGCGCAAAUUACCCACUCUCGGCAUGAGGAGGUAGUGACGAAAAAUAACGAGACCGUUCUCUAUGAGGCCGGUUAUCGGAAUGGGUACAAUUUAAACCCGUUAACGAGGAUCUAUGAGAGGGCAAGUCUGGUGCCAGCAGCCGCGGUAAUUCCAGCUCUCAAAGUGUAUAUCGUCAUUGCUGCGGUUAAAAAGCUCGUAGUUGGAUCUGCGCCUCAGGACUCGGUCCGCCUACUAGGUGAGAACUGGGCUCCUGGGCUAAUAUUGCUGGUUUUCCCUACGUUGCCUUCACCGGUCGCGUAGGGUGGCUAGCGAGUUUACUUUGAAAAAAUUAGAGUGCUUAAUGCGGGCUAUUGUCUGAAUACUCGUGCAUGGAAUAAUAGAAUAGGAUCUCGGUUCUAUUUUGUUGGUUUUCUGAUCUGAGAUAAUGGUUAAGAGGGACAGACGGGGGCAUUCGUAUCGCUGCGUGAGAGGUGAAAUUCUUGGACCGUAGCGAGACGUCCGACUGCGAAAGCAUUUGCCAAGAAUGUCUUCAUUAAUCAAGAACGAAAGUCAGAGGUUCGAAGGCGAUCA
rnacentral:rRNA from 1 species